UACGGAGGGUGCAAGCGUUAUCCGGAUUCACUGGGUUUAAAGGGUGCGUAGGUGGGUUGGUAAGUCAGUGGUGAAAUCUCCGAGCUUAACUUGGGAACUGCCAUUGAUACUAUCAGUCUUGAAUAUUGUGGAGGUCAGCGGAAUAUGUCAUGUAGCGGUGAAAUGCUUAGAUAUGACAUAGAACACCAAUUGCGAAGGCAGCUGGCUACACAUAUAUUGACACUGAGGCACGAAAGCGUGGGGAUCAAACAGG
rnacentral:rRNA from 1 species